rnacentral:tRNA from 1 species
GCGUCCGUAGCUCAGCCUGGAAAGAGCAUCGGCCUUCUAAGCCGAGGGUCGCAGGUUCGAAUCCUGCCGGACGCG